rnacentral:rRNA from 1 species
GGAAUCUUCCACAAUGGACGAAAGUCUGAUGGAGCAACGCCGCGUGAGUGAUGAAGGUUUUCGGAUCGUAAAACUCUGUUGUAAGGGAAGAACAAGUACGAGAGGCAAUGCUCGUACCUUGACGGUACCUUGCGAGAAAGCCACGGCUAACUACGUGCCAGCAGCCGCGGUAAUACGUAGGUGGCAAGCGUUGUCCGGAAUUAUUGGGCGUAAAGCGCGCGCAGGCGGCCUUUUAAGUCUGAUGUGAAAGCCCCCGGCUCAACCGGGGAGGGUCAUUGGAAACUGGAAGGCUUGAGUACAGAAGAGAAGAGUGGAAUUCCAUGUGUAGCGGUGAAAUGCGUAGAGAUGUGGAGGAACACCAGUGGCGAAGGCGACUCUUUGGUCUGUAACUGACGCUGAGGCGCGAAAGCGUGGGGAGCAAACAGGAUUAGAUACCCUGG